rnacentral:rRNA from 1 species
UCCGGCCUACGGGGCGCAGCAGUGAGGAAUAUUGGUCAAUGGCCGGAAGGCUGAACCAGCCACGCCGCGUGAAGGACGAAGGUGCCAAGCAUUGUAAACUUCUUUUGUCAAGGGACAAAAUCAGGCUCGAGAGCCUGACCGAGGGUACUUGAAGAAAAAGCAUCGGCUAACUCCGUGCCAGCAGCCGCGGUAAUACGGAGGAUGCGAGCGUUAUCCGGAUUUAUUGGGUUUAAAGGGUGCGUAGGCGGACUGUUAAGUCAGCGGGAAAAGCCCGGGGCUCAACCCCGGCGAGACGUGGAAACUGG